AGUGAAUCGGUGCAAGCGUAUUGGCGCUCCGAGGCCGGCCUUGAAGAAGGCUACUACGAGGCGAAAGUGGUCCUUCUUGCAAAAUCGAAGAGGGCACUUCUCGAGGAGAUGGCCCACAAGAAGCGACUGGUUAUUCCCCAGAUUUUUGAGGAACCAGUGCAAGCAUCAACAUCAGGUUCUGCGUCC